CAAUGCCUGGGAAGGGGGCAGGAGAGAAGCCUGCUGCAGGAAAAGAGGAAGAAAGCAUCUAUGCAGAUAUUGAAACAGCCAAAGCGAGGAAGAACUCCAUGAUCUCCCCUCGCCUCACAGACUUAAGCCAGGAAGGCAGUCCAGGAAUCCACAAUAAACAACUGCAGCUGGCCUGUUCUGUUUCUCGCACAGUGGACCUGAGUUCUUUUCUAGAAUCUGUUCUGCAGCAGGGAAGGUAAAGCUGGAGGCACGAAUCGCUUCACAAAGACAAUAAAAUAAUUGUAAAAAAAGAAAGCAGUCAUCAUAAAGACUGCCAUGGACACAAAGCUACAUCACUAAUGACCAUGCAGCUGGAGACGGGAAUGAGAAAGAGACCGGGAGUGGACGGUGUGGUUAGAAGGACAGCCAUUACUCUCACACCUGUAAUCCCAGCACUUUGGGAGGCCGAGG
rnacentral:lncRNA from 10 species